AGGGUUUGAUUCUGGCUCAGGACGAACGCUGGCGGCGUGCUUAACACAUGCAAGUCGAACGGGAUCCAUCUUAGCUUGCUAGGGUGGUGAGAGUGGCGAACGGGUGAGUAACGCGUGAUCAACCUGCCGCAUAGUGGGGAAUAGCUCCUGGAAACGGGUGGUAAUGCCCUAUGCUCCAACUACUCGCAUGGGUUGUUGGGAAAGCCUUGUGUGCUAUGUGAUGGGAUCGCGUCCUAUCAGCUUGUUGGUGGGGUAGUGGCCUACCAAGGCUUCGACGGGUAGCCGGCCUGAGAGGGCGACCGGCCACAUUGGGACUGAGAUACGGCCCAGACUCCUACGGGAGGCAGCAGUGGGGAAUAUUGCACAAUGGGGGGAACCCUGAUGCAGCGACGCCGCGUGCGGGAUGACGGCCUUCGGGUUGUAAACCGCUUUUAUUAAGGAGCAAGCGAGAGUGAGUGUACUUUUUGAAUAAGCACCGGCUAACUACGUGCCAGCAGCCGCGGUAAUACGUAGGGUGCAAGCGUUGUCCGGAAUUAUUGGGCGUAAAGAGCUCGUAGGCGGUUUGUCGCGUCUGGUGUGAAAGUCCAUCGCUUAACGGUGGAUCUGCGCUGGGUACGGGCAGGCUAGAGUGUAGUAGGGGAGACUGGAAUUCCCGGUGUAACGGUGGAAUGUGUAGAUAUCGGGAAGAACACCAAUGGCGAAGGCAGGUCUCUGGGCUAUGACUGACGCUGAGGAGCGAAAGCGUGGGGAGCGAACAGGAUUAGAUACCCUGGUAGUCCACGCCGUAAACGGUGGAUGCUGGAUGUGGGGCCCUUUCCACGGGUUCUGUGUCGGAGCUAACGCGUUAAGCAUCCCGCCUGGGGAGUACGGCCGCAAGGCUAAAACUCAAAGAAAUUGACGGGGGCCCGCACAAGCGGCGGAGCAUGCGGAUUAAUUCGAUGCAACGCGAAGAACCUUACCAAGACUUGACAUAAUUACGACUACUCUAGAGAUAGGGUUUCCUCUUUUGGGGCGUUUUUACAGGUGGUGCAUGGUCGUCGUCAGCUCGUGUCGUGAGAUGUUGGGUUAAGUCCCGCAACGAGCGCAACCCUUGUCUUGUGUUGCCAGCACGUUAUGGUGGGAACUCACAAGAGACCGCCGGGGUUAACUCGGAGGAAGGUGGGGAUGACGUCAGAUCAUCAUGCCCCUUACGUCUUGGGCUUCACGCAUGCUACAAUGGCCGGUACAGCGAGGUGCGAUAGGGUGACCUGGAGCGGAUCUUGUAAAACCGGUCUCAGUUCGGAUUGAAGCCUGCAACUCGGCUUCAUGAAGGUGGAGUCGCUAGUAAUCGCAGAUCAGCAGUGCUGCGGUGAAUGCGUUCCCGGGCCUUGUACACACCGCCCGUCAAGUCAUGAAAGUGGGCAACACCCGAAGCCGGUGGCCUAACAGUUUACUCUGGGGGAGCCGUCUAAGGUGAGGUCCGCGAUUGGGACUAAGUCGUAACAAGGUAGCCGUACCGGAAGGUGCGGCUGGAUCACCU
rnacentral:rRNA from 1 species